GACGUAGGGCGCGAGCGUUGUCCGGAUUUAUUGGGCGUAAAGAGCUCGUAGGCGGCUUGUCGCGUCGAAUGUGAAAACUCGGGGCUCAACUCCGAGCUUGCAUUCGAUACGGGCAGGCUAGAGUUCGGUAGGGGAGACUGGAAUUCCUGGUGUAGCGGUGAAAUGCGCAGAUAUCAGGAGGAACACCGGCGGCGAAGGCGGGUCUCUGGGCCGAAACUGACGCUGAGGAGCGAAAGCGUGGGGAGCAAACAGG
rnacentral:rRNA from 1 species